AUUGAACGCUGGCGGCAGGCUUAACACAUGCAAGUCGAGCGGAGAUGAGGUGCUUGCACCUUAUCUUAGCGGCGGACGGGUGAGUAAUGCUUAGGAAUCUGCCCAUUAGUGGGGGACAACAUUCCGAAAGGAAUGCUAAUACCGCAUACGCCCUAUGGGGAAAAGCAGGGGAUCUUCGGACCUUGCGCUAAUAGAUGGGCCAAAGUCGGAUUAGCUAGUUGGUGGGGUAAAGGCCUACCAAGGCGACGAUCUGUAGCGGGUCUGAGAGGAUGAUCCGCCACACUGGGACUGAGACACGGCCCAGACUCCUACGGGAGGCAGCAGUGGGGAAUAUUGGACAAUGGGCGGAAGCCUGAUCCAGCCAUGCCGCGUGUGUGAAGAAGGCCUUUUGGUUGUAAAGCACUUUAAGCGAGGAGGAGGCUACCUGGAUUAAUACUCUAGGAUAGUGGACGUUACUCGCAGAAUAAGCACCGGCUAACUCUGUGCCAGCCGCCGCGGUAACAC
rnacentral:rRNA from 1 species